AGAUUGAACGCUGGCGGCAUGCCUAACACAUGCAAGUCGAACGGGAGUAGCAAUACUCUAGUGGCGGACGGGUGAGGAAUACGUAGGAAUUUGCCCUUAAGUGGGGGAUAACCCGGGGAAACCCGGAUUAAUACCGCAUGACCUCGAAAGAGCAAAGUGGGGGAUCGCAAGACCUCACGCUUUUGGAGAAGCCUACGUCGGAUUAGCUAGUUGGUGAGGUAAUGGCUCACCAAGGCGACGAUCCGUAACUGGUCUGAGAGGAUGAUCAGUCACACCGGAACUGAGACACGGUCCGGACUCCUACGGGAGGCAGCAGUGGGGAAUAUUGGACAAUGGGCGCAAGCCUGAUCCAGCAAUGCCGCGUGUGUGAAGAAGGCCUUCGGUUGUAAAGAC
rnacentral:rRNA from 1 species